GAGUGAACACUGCUAUUCGAUGAUCAUGGAGUUGAGGUUUACUGUCGAGCUGCACACGUAUCCGACUUUUAUAGGUAUUCACUUGGACUCGAACUAAGAUAUUUCUCUGACUUCGAUCCAUCUUCACCAAGGUGGAUCAGCAAGCUCCUGGAUCAACCUUUGAUCAGAUCUCCAAUAGAAUCUUGAUCAACCUUUGAUCGUAGCCUUCUUCUUCCUUCAUGUAGAUCUAUCAGCACUUGACUCUUCGAGCGCACCUGAUGGGCCAACCCAACUCCUUUAGGCAUGGGAGAGGAGGAGAGAGUAGAGAGG
rnacentral:lncRNA from 1 species